UACGUAGGUGGCAAGCGUUGUCCGGAAUUAUUGGGCGUAAAGCGCGCGCAGGCGGUUCUUUAAGUCUGAUGUGAAAGCCCACGGCUCAACCGUGGAGGGUCAUUGGAAACUGGAGAACUUGAGUACAGAAGAGGAAAGCGGAAUUCCACGUGUAGCGGUGAAAUGCGUAGAUAUCGGGAGGAACACCAGUGGCGAAGGCGGCUUCCUGGCCUGUUCUUGACGCUGAGGCGCGAAAGCUAGGGGAGCAAACGGG
rnacentral:rRNA from 1 species